ensembl:lncRNA
GUGGAGGAGGGGGCACAAGGGAAAGGCUGGGCUCAGGGAGCUGCACAAGUGUCUCAACAAGAACGAUGUGCCCCACGAGGUCCGAGACUGCCUGGAAGAUAUGUUGCAGGGUAACUGUACUAAAUGAGUGUGCUGGACUUUUGGAAGUAAGGAAUCCACCUGCUUGAACUGCUGGACUAAACACAAGGGACCAAAACACACUUCAGUCUGACCUUUUAGAUAGGAAGUGUGUGUGUUUGUGUGUGUGUGUGUGAGUGUGUGUUUGUGUGUGUAUGUGCACAAGUGUAUGUGUGUGUGUAUUACUGAACCUUUACCACAGGCACUAGACGCUGCCUAAAACUGGCCUUUUGCGGGUUUGUAAAACCACUUUUUCUUUUGAAAAGAUGCUUCAAAAGGUCUUGUCUCUCCCUCAAGCAAGCUAUUCAUUUCGCCCCCUGGUUUGUCACUCAAGAUCGGUUACACGAGGUCUGGUUUUGAGAAUCCGUGGAUGUGUAAGUGUUGGGGAAAACACUGCAGAAAAGUGACUAUGGUGCUGCAGUCCCUACUGCCAGUGGAAACAGAACCAGUGGUUCAAACUUAAGCUUGUUUAUUUUGAAAAGAUUUUCACCCUUUGUUUUUGAUAAUGGCUUUUUUAUUAUGAAAUUGUACAUCUGUGUAUAUAUUUAGUAUGUGACCCAUGUGACCAAAAAUGUACAUAUCUUUUGUUAGUUUUUUUUUUUUUUAUACCUGUCAGAACUUGAUUGCGAUUUUAAUGGGUUGUAGUCAGUCGUUAGCACUAGUCAAUAGAAUUGGAUUGGAAUAGCACUUUCUAGAAAAAGAAAGUAGUCUGAGAAUAAAACUCCAGUGAACGGUAGACUGAAGAGCCAGAGCGCACACGCUGAACGAUUAAUUGCAAUCAGAGUCCUGUGAAAAGCUGCCUGUUUAAACGAGUACGCAUUCCUGCCACAAGGGCCAGUUGAUGGGAAAGGGAGAGACAAUUAUGGCAAAUUAGUCAAGGCAACUAUGUUAGCAAAUCUCAACUGAUGUGAUUUUGAACUUAAACUUGAACUUGAAGGGAGUCAAAAGAGACAAAAGGCUGGAACGGAGCCCAAGUGGACACCUGAGACUGACUGGAG